UACGGAGGAUGCGAGCGUUAUCCGGAUUUAUUGGGUUUAAAGGGUGCGUAGGCGGUCCGUUAAGUCAGCGGUAAAAUUUCGGGGCUCAACCCCGUCGUGCCGUUGAAACUGACACCCUUGAGUGAGUGAGAAGUAAGCGGAAUGCGUGGUGUAGCGGUGAAAUGCAUAGAUAUCGCGCAGAACUCCGAUUGCGAAGGCAGCGUACCGGCGCCAGACUGACGCUGAGGCACGAAAGCGUGGGGAUCGAACAGG
rnacentral:rRNA from 1 species